CCUACGGGGGGCAGCAGUGAGGAAUAUUGGUCAAUGGGCGCAAGCCUGAACCAGCCAUGUCGCGUGCAGGAAGACUGCCCUAUGGGUUGUAAACUGCUUUUAUAGUAGAAGAAACACAUCUACGUGUAGAUGUCUGCCAGUAUACUAUGAAUAAGCAUCGGCUAACUCCGUGCCAGCAGCCGCGGUAAUACGGAGGAUGCAAGCGUUAUCCGGAUUUAUUGGGUUUAAAGGGUGCGUAGGCGGGACUGUAAGUCAGGGGUGAAAUACUGCAGCUUAACUGUAGCAUUGCCUUUGAAACUG
rnacentral:rRNA from 1 species